rnacentral:pre_miRNA from 1 species
GUUUGGCCUGGUGUUUAAUUUGCUUCCACACAUUUGCAAUGCCAGCAAAUUGCGCAUGCCAAUGCAUUUAUAGGUUAUUGCAUACGCCCUGGAUUGGCAGCGUGAGUGAAAGUGUGCUGGGCUGCGUGCUACUGUAGAUGAGUGGGUACUUGCGAAAUGUAUUGGCGGCCAUUGUAUGGUUGCAAUAGAAAUCAUGCAGGGGAUACUGUGAAUUAUAUACCAUGUACCAUGUGCAAUGUUUCAGAUGUCCCUGCACUAGCAGGCAUUCAGACAUCCCAGCAUCCCAGCGCUGGCAGGCAUGCCUGAAACAUUGCACAUGGUACAUAAUUCACAGUAUCCCCUUCAUGAUUUCCAUUGUAACCAUACAAUGGCAGCCAAUACAUUUCUCAAGUACCCACUCAUCUGUACAGCAGCACGCACCUUCACUCAUGCUGCCAAUCCAGGGCGUAUGCUAUAACCUAUAAAUGCUUUGGCAUGCACAAUUUGCUGGCAUUACAACUGUGUGGAUGCAGAUUAACUUGUAACCACAAAC